CUGUGGGUAGGGGUGAAAGGCCAAUCAAACUCCGUGAUAGCUGGUUCUCCCCGAAAUGCAUUUAGGUGCAGCGUCGCGUGUUGCCCGGCGGAGGUAGAGCUACUGGGUGGCUGAUGGGCCCCACAGGGUUACUGACGUCAACCAAACUCCGAAUGCCGUCGGGUUGUAGCGUGGCAGUGAGACCGCGGGGGAUAAGCUCCGUGGUCGAGAGGGAAACAGCCCAGAUCGCCGGCUAAGGCCCCUAAGCGUGUGCUAAGUGGGAAAGGAUGUGCGGUCGCGCAGACAACCAGGAGGUUGGCUUAGAAGCAGCCAUCCUUGAAAGAGUGCGUAAUAGCUCACUGGUCAAGUGAUCGUGCGCCGACAAUGUAGCGGGGCUCAAGCACACCGCCGAAGCCGCGGACCCAUGACGUUGUUCCUUUCGCUGUCCGGCUUGUCCGGGUGGUGGCAGGGGUUGUGGGUGGUAGGGGAGCGUCCUGCACCGGGGGAAGCCUGUGGGUGACUGCUGGUGGACGGUGCGGGAGUGAGAAUGCAGGCAUGAGUAGCGAUACUAGGGUGAGAAGCCCUAGCGCCGAAUGACCAAGGGUUCCAGGGCCAGGCUAGUCCGCCCUGGGUGAGUCGGGACCUAAGGCGAGGCCGACAGGCGUAGUCGAUGGAUGACGGGUUGAUAUUCCCGUACCGGCGAAGCACCGCCCAUGCUGACGCGCGGGUGCUAACCCACGCCCAGCCACCAAGUUCAGCCGCGCCUACUCCUUUCGGGGGGUGGUGUGGUUGUGGUGGUGGGGUCUGGGGACCCUCCGUGCAGGUAGGCAAGCGUGUUAACAGGGGUGACGCACAGUGGUAGCCCGGCGGACCUGAUGGCUUGGUCCGUUCAAGCGCGCAGCCCGUCUCCCAGGUAAAUCCGGGGGACUGUCUUUGAUGACGGGGGUGAGGCGUGAUGGUGACCUCACACUGGUGGGGGAUAACAGGGUGAUCCUGGGGUGCCGAGAAAAGCCUCGACGCGAUGGUGCCAGCCGCCCGUACCCUAAACCGACACAGGUGGUCGGGCAGAGUAUGCCUAGGCGCACGAGUGAAUCAUGGUUAAGGAACUCGGCAAAAUGCCCCCGUAACUUCGGGAGAAGGGGGGCCUGAUCCCUGAAGCCCCUUUGCGGGCUAGGGGGGAGGGUCGCAGAGGCCAGGGGGAAGCGACUGUUUACUAAAAACACAGGUCCGUGCGAAGCCGUAAGGCGAUGUAUACGGACUGACGCCUGCCCGGUGCUGGAAGGUUAAGAGGAACCAUCAACCCCCUCGGGGGUGAAGUGGUGAAUUUAAGCCCCAGUAAACGGCGGUGGUAACUAUAACCAUCCUAAGGUAGCGAAAUUCCUUGUCGGGUAAGUUCCGACCUGCACGAAUGGCGUAACGACUUCCCCGCUGUCUCAACCAUGAGCUCGGCGAAAUUGCAGUACGAGUAAAGAUGCUCGUUUCGCGCAGAAGGACGGAAAGACCCCGGGACCUUUACUACAGCUUGGUAUUGGCGCCCGCUAUAGCUUGUGCAGGAUAGGUGGGAGACUGUGAAGCCGUUACGCCAGUGGCGGUGGAGUCGUCCUUGAAAUACCACUCUGGUUAUGGCGUGCGCCUGAACCUGGGCCCGUGAUCCGGGUUAGGGACAGUGCCUGGUGGGUAGUUUAACUGGGGCGGUUGCCUCCUAAAGUGUAACGGAGGCGCUCAAAGGUUCCCUCAGCCUGGUCGGCAACCAGGUGUUGAGUGCAAGUGCACAAGGGAGCUUGACUGUGAGACCGACGGGUCGAGCAGGUACGAAAGUAGGAACUAGUGAUCCGGCGAUCCCGUGUGGGUGGGUCGUCGCUCAACGGAUAAAAGGUACCCCGGGGAUAACAGGCUGAUCCUGCCCAAGAGUCCAUAUCGACGGCAUGGUUUGGCACCUCGAUGUCGGCUCGUCGCAUCCUGGGGCUGGAGCAGGUCCCAAGGGUUGGGCUGUUCGCCCAUUAAAGCGGUACGCGAGCUGGGUUUAGAACGUCGUGAGACAGUUCGGUCCCUAUCCUCUGCGCGCGCAGGAGACUUGAGAAGGCCUGUCCCUAGUACGAGAGGACCGGGACGGACGAACCUCUGGUGUGCCAGUUGUCCCGCCCGGGGCACGGCUGGUUGGCUACGUUCGGGAAGGGUAACCGCUGAAAGCAUCUAAGCGGGAAACCAUCUUCAAGAUAAGGUCUCCACAAGAAGGACUUGU
rnacentral:rRNA from 1 species